GGAGCUGGAAAGGUGGAGGCGGAAGUGACUGAUCAAUUCAGGGGCGUGGGGUUCGUUUAGGUUUUGCCCUGUGUAUGACCUCGUUUGGAGCCAUGAAACCAGGGCACUGAAGAUAUUAUUUAUAUUCAGAGGCUAUGUUGGUUUGGAGAAGGAAAGGUCACCAUGUGUGAUGACUACAUCCAAAGAGAGUGAGUGGCUUGAGACAUUGGUAGUAUGUGUAUCUGAUCAUAUCAAUAUGUUAAAAUGACGUUCAAAGUAUGAUCUACCUCAGAAUAAUCUAGAUGUCUGAGGAAUAGUCUUAGUGGAUUAUCCCAAACUUGACACAUUUUUUGCAAAAUGCUAUACAAAAAGAAGAUACAUGCGAUUAUGACAAGAUUCUCCACUUGGUGUGACCAGUCUCAUACAACCCAAGGCUGUGUGUCCAAAGGCAACUGUACUGAUCUUGACAAUAAUCAAAAGGUAGCCAGGUGCAUCGG
ensembl:lncRNA ZRANB2-DT ZRANB2 divergent transcript